rnacentral:tRNA from 1 species
UAAUUGAAGCCAAAAUAGAGGCUUAUCACUGUUAAUGAUAUAAUUGAAGACUAUUCUCCAAUUAAG